GAUGAACGCUGGCGGCGUGCUUAACACAUGCAAGUCGAACGGUGAAGCAGAGCUUGCUCUGUGGAUCAGUGGCGAACGGGUGAGUAACACGUGAGCAACCUGCCCCUGACUCUGGGAUAAGCGCUGGAAACGGCGUCUAAUACUGGAUAUGAGCUGCGACCGCAUGGUCAGCAGUUGGAAAGAUUUUUCGGUCUGGGAUGGGCUCACGGCCUAUCAGCUUGUUGGUGAGGUAAUGGCUCACCAAGGCGUCGACGGGUAGCCGGCCUGAGAGGGUGACCGGCCACACUGGGACUGAGACACGGCCCAGACUCCUACGGGAGGCAGCAGUGGGGAAUAUUGCACAAUGGGCGAAAGCCUGAUGCAGCAACGCCGCGUGAGGGAUGACGGCCUUCGGGUUGUAAACCUCUUUUAGCAGGGAAGAAGCGAAAGUGACGGUACCUGCAGAAAAAGCGCCGGCUAACUACGUGCCAGCAGCCGCGGUAAUACGUAGGGCGCAAGCGUUAUCCGGAAUUAUUGGGCGUAAAGAGCUCGUAGGCGGUUUGUCGCGUCUGCUGUGAAAUCCCGAGGCUCAACCUCGGGUCUGCAGUGGGUACGGGCAGACUAGAGUGCGGUAGGGGAGAUUGGAAUUCCUGGUGUAGCGGUGGAAUGCGCAGAUAUCAGGAGGAACACCGAUGGCGAAGGCAGAUCUCUGGGCCGUUACUGACGCUGAGGAGCGAAAGGGUGGGGAGCAAACAGGCUUAGAUACCCUGGUAGUCCACCCCGUAAACGUUGGGAACUAGUUGUGGGGUCCAUUCCACGGAUUCCGUGACGCAGCUAACGCAUUAAGUUCCCCGCCUGGGGAGUACGGCCGCAAGGCUAAAACUCAAAGGAAUUGACGGGGACCCGCACAAGCGGCGGAGCAUGCGGAUUAAUUCGAUGCAACGCGAAGAACCUUACCAAGGCUUGACAUAUACGAGAACGGGCCAGAAAUGGUCAACUCUUUGGACACUCGUAAACAGGUGGUGCAUGGUUGUCGUCAGCUCGUGUCGUGAGAUGUUGGGUUAAGUCCCGCAACGAGCGCAACCCUCGUUCUAUGUUGCCAGCACGUAAUGGUGGGAACU
rnacentral:rRNA from 1 species